rnacentral:rRNA from 1 species
AUUAACUGAAUCCAUAGGUUAAUGAGGCGAACCGGGGGAACUGAAACAUCUAAGUACCCCGAGGAAAAGAAAUCAACCGAGAUUCCCCCAGUAGCGGCGAGCGAACGGGGAGGAGCCCAGAGCCUGAAUCAGCAUGUGUGUUAGUGGAAGCGUCUGGAAAGGCGCGCGAUACAGGGUGACAGCCCCGUACACAAAAGCGCAUGUGCUGUGAGCUCGAUGAGUAGGGCGGGACACGUGGUAUCCUGUCUGAAUAUGGGGGGACCAUCCUCCAAGGCUAAAUACUCCUGACUGACCGAUAGUGAACCAGUACCGUGAGGGAAAGGCGAAAAGAACCCCGGCGAGGGGAGUGAAAAAGAACCUGAAACCGUGUACGUACAAGCAGUGGGAGCACCCUUCGGGGUGUGACUGCGUACCUUUUGUAUAAUGGGUCAGCGACUUAUAUUCUGUAGCAAGGUUAACCGAAUAGGGGAGCCGGAGGGAAACCGAGUCUUAAUUGGGCGUUAAGUUGCAGGGUAUAGACCCGAAACCCGGUGAUCUAGCCAUGGGCAGGUUGAAGGUUGGGUAACACUAACUGGAGGACCGAACCGACUAAUGUUGAAAAAUUAGCGGAUGACCUGUGGCUGGGGGUGAAAGGCCAAUCAAACCGGGAGAUAGCUGGUUCUCCCCGAAAGCUAUUUAGGUAGCGCCUCGUGAAUUCAUCUCCGGGGGUAGAGCACUGUUUCGGCUAGGGGGCCAUCCCGGCUUACCAACCCGAUGCAAACUGCGAAUACCGGAGAAUGUUAUCACGGGAGACACACGGCGGGUGCUAACGUCCGUCGUGAAGAGGGAAACAACCCAGACCGCCAGCUAAGGUCCCAAAGUCAUGGUUAAGUGGGAAACGAUGUGGGAAGGCCCAGACAGCCAGGAUGUUGGCUUAGAAGCAGCCAUCAUUUAAAGAAAGCGUAAUAGCUCACUGGUCGAGUCGGCCUGCGCGGAAGAUGUAACGGGGCUAAACCAUGCACCGAAGCUGCGGCAGCGAACGUAUCACCCAAGACAACUUUACGGAGUUGACGAUUGACGGAGCGAAGCGACGUCAAAGCGUUCAUUAAAGUCGAGUUGGCUUAGGGAUACGUUCGUUGGGUAGGGGAGCGUUCUGUAAGCCUGUGAAGGUGUGUCGUGAGGCAUGCUGGAGGUAUCAGAAGUGCGAAUGCUGACAUAAGUAACGAUAAAGCGGGUGAAAAGCCCGCUCGCCGGAAGACCAAGGGUUCCUGUCCAACGUUAAUCGGGGCAGGGUGAGUCGACCCCUAAGGCGAGGCCGAAAGGCGUAGUCGAUGGGAAACGGGUUAAUAUUCCCGUACUUGGUGUUACUGCGAAGGGGGGACGGAGAAGGCUAUGUUGGCCGGGCGACGGUUGUCCCGGUUUAAGCGUGUAGGUGUGUGUUCCAGGUAAAUCCGGUU